rnacentral:piRNA from 1 species
UUGGUGACGGUCCUCCACUGAGUGA